CAGACCUGCAAGGUAGAUAAUCUUAUCUCCAUUUCAGUGAUGCAGACUCCCAAGACUCAGAGAGAGCACCUCUCACCUGCUGGGCUGCUGCUGCCUCUGGUGGGUUCCCUGGAGUCAGAAUAGAAGCCCCAGAACUGCAUGACCUGCACAACCUCUCAUCUGCACUGGUUUCUCCUCACUCUCAGACAAGAUGAAAUGUCAUACCACAGAGCAUGAAAUCUUGCUUCUGUAGCUGGUGUCAAUGGACCAGACUACAUCAAGGUUGGGAUCUCUCCCUAUGGCCAUGGCAGAGAAGCUCUGUGGCUCAAAGAAUCUACUGAAGUCACCUGCUGUUUCUCAUCAUGGCUUGUCGAAAGUAGUGCCAUCAUGGUAACACAUCACACUGAA